CUAGGGCAGCGUACACAUGCAGUCGAGCGGUAGAGACUACCUUGCUUCUCUUCUUAGCGGCGGACGGGUGAGUAAUGCCUAGGAAUCUGCCUGUUAGUGGGGGAUAACGUUUCGAAACGAACGCUAAUACCGCAUACGUCCUACGGGAGAAAGCAGGGGACCUUCAGGCCUUGGGCUAUCAGAUGAACCUAAGUCGGAAUAACUAGUUGGUGGGGUAAUGGCCCAACCAGGCCAACAACCGGAACCGGUCUGAAAAGAUGAACCCUCACACUGGAACUGAAACACGGUCCAAACUCCCACGGGAAGGCACAGUGGGGAAUUUUGGAAAAUGGGCGAAAACCUGAUCCCCCCGUGCCGCGUGGGUUAAAAAAGGCUUCAGAUUGUAAAGCACUUUUAAUUGGGAGGAAGGCUUAUUAGUUUAUACCCCAGUAUUUUGGGAUUUCCCACGGAAAAAACUCCCGCUAAAUCUCUGUCCCCACCCCCGGGAAAAUACAGGGGGUAUCCGUUUAUCUUGAUUUUAGGGCGUAUAGAGCGCGUAUGUGGUUUCAUUGGUUGCAUGU
rnacentral:rRNA from 1 species